rnacentral:lncRNA from 1 species
UCCUCCCCAUUGUCUCUCUCUGGUCUUUAUUAUGAGGUCACUAAUUCCAUCCAUGAGGGCAGUCACUCUCAAAAGGCCUCACCUCCCAAAGGCGCCACCUCCUAAUACAAUCAUCAUGGAUGCCAGGAUUUUAAUAUAUGAAUUUUUAGGAGGAACACAAAAUUCAGUGUAUUGCAACUAAUUUUGCAAAUAUUGGCUGAUUGGCAGUUUCUCCACUUUUAAUGCCAUUCAUUGGCUCAUGCUGCCUAAGGAGUCUUGUGGCUUUUGCUCUUUUUUGCUUUAUCUGCCCAUUUGUCAAUUUUCUGCAAGCCUGGUGGAGACCAAGCAACUCAAUCAGCUCUUCCUCUUCCUAUUGCCCUCAGAGCACCUCCUAGUGGCAAAAAGCAGGCAUUGUAAUCCCAGCAAGGCUUUUGAAAUUUGCUUCUUUCAUCCAUUUAUUUAGUUAUUGCCUGCAAAUGUUUCAACGAUAAUGUAAUGAUCCCUCUGCUGUCCAAAGGUUUGGAGAAUGUUAUGAAAGAACAUUUUUGUUUUUUUCUGUAGCCUCUGCACUGACCUGUAUUUCUGUUCCCAGGUGACUUGUACCACAAUUUGGGGCAACAGAACAUGCAUUUAAUGUUGGGUAUAAACUUUUAAUAAUUAGAAAACUGAGAAUGCCAAGAAACUAUUACAUGGUACAUCUGUAUAAGAGUAUUUAGAAUAAAAUGUAUGUGUUUUCUUAACACAAAUCAAGUAAUUUUGGGAGUUGAUAAAAGGCUAAUAGUUCAGAAAAUUAAAAUUAUAUGUUAAAGUCUUCUAUGAAAAAUACUUAACAUAAUUGCCAUGUGAGAGAGCUGGUAAACAUUAAUGAAAUUUCAAAAUCAGUGCAUAGAAGAGGGACAUGGUCGAUGGUUGAAAGUAAACAGCAGACUGGCCAGAAAUCUGAUUACAAAGACCAUGCAAAAAUGAAUAGGGCCUGAAGAUACCAAAUUCCUUCUGUUUUAAACCAAAUUGAUUUUCCCCUAAAAGAGUGUUAAUAAAAUACUUCACAUAGUGAGUUUAACUUUUCUUUCUCAGUCUCUAAGUUAUCUGGUAUACCAUUGUUUUUGAUGAAUUGCUUCUUCCUUAGUUUAUGUUUUGUGUCAUUUCAAUCUAAAUUGGUUCAAAGGGACACCUUCAGAUUUUCUUCAUUGGCAAUGACUAUUGAGCCCCUAUGAGAGUACAGUAGUCCCCCCUUAUCUGAGGGACAUACCUUCUAAGACCCACAGUGCACAUUUUCUAUACAUACAUACCUGUGAGAGUUAAUUUGUAAAUUAGGCGGAGUAAGAGAUUGACAACAAUAACAUAAUAAAAUAGAACAAUUGUAACAAUAUGCUGUAAUAAAAGUUAUGUGAACAUGGUCUUUUUCUCAAUAUCUUACUGUAAUGUACUCACCCUUCUUGUGAUGAUGUGAGAUGUGAGAUGGCAAAAUGCUUACGUGCUGAGAUGAAGUGAUGUGAAUGACGUAGGCAUUGUGACUUAGCAUUAGGCUACUAUUGACCUUCUGACCUAUUGUCAGAGGGAGGAUCAUCUGCUUCAGGUGAUUCUGGAUCAUUAAGCCACAAGGAUGACGAAGGUUGGGAGUCAGAAACAGACAGUGUCAAUGACUGAUGGACCAUGGUUGACCACAGGUAAUUGAAACCCUGGAAGGUGAAACUGCAGAUAAGGAGGACUACAGUGUUCAACUAUUUACAAAUAAUGACAGUGGCCACAAAGAUUACCUUGAAAAGAGACCGUGAGACAGUUUCACACAGACUGUGCCUGGAUUUCCAUGAGUCUCUGCCAACUGCUUUUUAAGAGGUUUGUUGGCAGGAAGUGUCUUGGUUUUCUUGAUGGCAGAGAUAAAGAAAAAAAGAAAAAAAACAAACGUGAAAAAUUCCAAGGAUCAAUUUGCUAUUCAGUUUGGAAAAUAGUUAUUUACAAGAAGCACUGUGGCAUCUACAAGAUCUUGCUACCUCACCCAACUACUCCCUCCCUAAUCCAAAAAAAUGAGAGAAACCCAUUGCAGUCUGUGGUUGGGGUUGAUUAAACAUCCCUUGGGGCCCUAAUGCCCUCGAAAUGAUGUGAAAUCACUGGGUUGUGUAUCAAAAGGGCAGGGUGAGCUCCUGGCUCAUCUGACUUUAAUCUCAAAUGGCUCCACACUGGUAGUUGAGAACAGACAAUUACUUCAUUAACUUUUGGAAAGUCUGAGGCAUUUGUGUUGCUUUCUGGACUGUGCUCUGCUACAGGGAGAGAAAAGACGAGGUCCAACGAGGCCAUUCAUGCCUGCCAAGUUUUCCUUUCUUUCCAAUCCAGGAAACAUACAUUGGUAGUGGGUAAGAUCCAAUAUUUUAUAAUGCUAAGACAGAGAGACUCACCCACUGAACAGCCCAGAGUGAAUAUUCCCCAAGUCUUGGCUGGCAUGUAAGCCCAGAAUCUUCACCCUUACUCUCAAACCUUUUGCCACCUCUAUCCAAGAAUUAUUUUUAAUAAUGUCAUGUUCUCUUCUUUCCCUUAAAUAAAUCCACUCAUAUAUGAAAA